rnacentral:rRNA from 1 species
UGGGGAAUAUUGCACAAUGGGCGCAAGCCUGAUGCAGCCAUGCCGCGUGUAUGAAGAAGGCCUUCGGGUUGUAAAGUACUUUCAGCGGGGAGGAAGGCGAUAAGGUUAAUAACCUUGUCGAUUGACGUUACCCGCAGAAGAAGCACCGGCUAACUCCGUGCCAGCAGCCGCGGUAAUACGGAGGGUGCAAGCGUUAAUCGGAAUUACUGGGCGUAAAGCGCACGCAGGCGGUCUGUCAAGUCGGAUGUGAAAUCCCCGGGCUCAACCUGGGAACUGCAUUCGAAACUGGCAGGCUAGAGUCUUGUAGAGGGGGGUAGAAUUCCAGGUGUAGCGGUGAAAUGCGUAGAGAUCUGGAGGAAUACCGGUGGCGAAGGCGGCCACCUGGACAAAGACUGACGCUCAGGUGCGAAAGCGUGGGGAGCAAACA